AACGCAUCUUGCGCUCCUUGGUAUUCCUGGGAGCAUGCCUGUUUGAGUGUCAUAACGAUUUCAACAUUCAUUAAUCUUGAGGUUAUUUAAUGCUUGGAAUGUGGAGUCUGCUGUAUAAUUCUACAGCUUCUCUUGAAUAUAUUAGCAAAUUCUUCGUAGGGUCUACAAAAAGAUAGCUUCAUUUGGCUUGAUAACUUAUCUGCCCAUUGCACGUCUUUGACCCUUCAACCAAGGAUAGCUUCUAAUAAGUCAAUCAAAGACAAUACUUUCUUUGACCUCAAAUCAGGUAGGAUUACCCGCUGAACUUAA
rnacentral:misc_RNA from 1 species